rnacentral:rRNA from 1 species
GCUUAACACAUGCAAGUCGAGCGAGGACCACCCGGUGGCAACACCGGGUUGGUGCCUAGCGGCGAACGGGUGAGUAACACGUGGGUAACCUGCCCCCGACACCGGGAUAAGCCUGGGAAACUGGGUCUAAUACCGGAUAUGAGCCUCCUCCGCAUGGUGGAGGCUGGAAAGGGUCCCCGGUCGGGGAUGGGCCCGCGUCCUAUCAGCUUGUUGGUGGGGUAACGGCCUACCAAGGCGACGACGGGUAGCCGGCCUGAGAGGGUGUACGGCCACACUGGGACUGAGACACGGCCCAGACUCCUACGGGAGGCAGCAGCGGGGAAUAUUGCGCAAUGGGCGAAAGCCUGACGCAGCGACGCCGCGUGCGGGAUGAAGGCCUUCGGGUUGUAAACCGCUUUCAGCAGGGACGAAGCGCAAGUGACGGUACCUGCAGAAGAAGGUCCGGCCAACUACGUGCCAGCCGCCGCGGUAAUUC